CCUACGGGGGGCAGCAGUGGGGAAUAUUGGACAAUGGGCGAAAGCCUGAUCCAGCAAUGCCGCGUGAGUGAUGAAGGCCCUAGGGUUGUAAAGCUCUUUUACCCGGGAAGAUAAUGACUGUACCGGGAGAAUAAGCCCCGGCUAACUCCGUGCCAGCAGCCGCGGUAAUACGGAGGGGGCUAGCGUUGUUCGGAAUUACUGGGCGUAAAGCGCACGUAGGCGGCUUUGUAAGUCAGAGGUGAAAGCCUGGAGCUCAACUCCAGAACUGCCUUUGAGACUGCAUCGCUUGAAUCCAGGAGAGGUCAGUGGAAUUCCGAGUGUAGAGGUGAAAUUCGUAGAUAUUCGGAAGAACACCAGUGGCGAAGGCGGCUGACUGGACUGGUAUUGACGCUGAGGUGCGAAAGCGUGGGGAGCAAACAGGCUUAGAUACCCUAGUAGUC
rnacentral:rRNA from 1 species